rnacentral:lncRNA from 1 species
UUUUUUUAAUUUAUUAUUUUAUUUAUGAAACCCUAAAAAAUAAAAUACUUUCUUCACUCACUGUGUAUACCAAAAAAGUAAUCUCUGCUCUCACAAAUCACUCUCAUUGUACUUGCUCUCAUUUGACGGUGCUCUGACCCUCACUUCACUGAAAUUCUUCAAGGAGCAGAUAAAACACCCUUCCUUUUUUCUUCUUCUUUCUCCAUAUUUUUGUUUUCUCACU